AUUGAACGCUGGCGGCAGGCCUAACACAUGCAAGUCGAACGGUAACAGGGAUCAGCUUGCUGAUUCGCUGACGAGUGGCGGACGGGUGAGUAAUGUCUGGGAAACUGCCUGAUGGAGGGGGAUAACUACUGGAAACGGUAGCUAAUACCGCAUAACGUCGCAAGCCCAAAGAGGGGGACCUUCGGGCCUCUUGCCAUCGGAUUUGCCCAGAUGGGAUUAGCUAGUAGGUGGGGUAACGGCUCACCUAGGCGGCGAGCCCUAGCUGGUCUGAGAGGAUGACCAGCCACACUGGAAGUGAGACACGGUCCAGACUCCUACGGGAGGCAGCAGUGGGGAAUAUUGCACGAUGGGCGCAAGCCUGAUGCAGGCAGGCCGCGUGUAUGAAGAAGGCCUUCGGGUUGUAAAGUACUUUCAGCGGGGAGGAAGGGAGUAAAGUUAAUACCUUUGCUCAUUGACGUUACCCGCAGAAGAAGCACCGGCUAACUCCGUG
rnacentral:rRNA from 1 species